GUUGGUUCUACCUUAAGUCGGUGCGCUAACCCGCGAGGGCGGCAGCCGCCUAAGGAGUGGGUCGUGACUGGGGUGAAGUCGUAACAAGGUAGCCGUAGGUGAACCUGCAGAAGGAUCA
rnacentral:rRNA from 1 species